UUUUUUUUAUUUAAAAAAAUAUAUAUUUAUAAUGGGGCUCUGGUGUUCUCUUCUUCUCCCUCAUAGUUCUUCCUAAUUUUCUAGUUUUUCAAUUGUAAAAUUUAUGGAGAGAAACAGCAAUUCUACCGAUAAUUUUCAAUGGCGACAGCGGUUCUCCGUCGCCCACCUACUUCCGACGCCGGCAAUUGCCGGUUUGAUUGGGAUGAUGGUGAAGAUUGUGAAGAUUUACAAGAAUCGAGUGAUGAGUUAUAUUCUUGAUCGCUGGAGAUCACCUUGCUGCAAUAUCUGCAAUAAAAGUUCAUAGAAUGAGGUAACUAGUGUCGCAAGCAAACCUAAACUUCUAAAGAUUCAGCAGAUUGACAAAGGGGGACCAAAAAUUGAUGAAUAUGCAUAAGCAAUAAUAAGUAAAUUAACAUAUGCAUUCGGUUCACUCUUGAAAAUGGAUUUUGAAUUUAUAUCAUUCUAUUCAAGCAUUAGAUUCGGGUAUUAAUAUUAUCAUCUACAACCACUUCAUUUUGGAGAUUUGACGA